rnacentral:rRNA from 1 species
AUGGCGGUGGAGGAGAUAACCGAGGGCGUGAGGGGCCUCAAGGUGGAGGACGGCGAGGGGGCGGCGGCCGCGGCCGACGCGCCGGCCGCCGCCGCCGGCGGGGAGGGGCAGAGGCGGGGCGCCAACAGCAGCAGCAACCGCAUCCAGGUGUCCAACACGAAGAAGCCCCUCUUCUUCUAUGUCAACCUCGCCAAGAGGUAUAUGCAGCAGCACGGCGACGUCGAGCUCUCCGCGCUCGGGAUGGCCAUUGCGACGGUUGUAACCGUGGCGGAGAUUCUGAAGAACAACGGCCUUGCUGUUGAGAAGAAGAUUAGGACAUCCACGGUGGAAAUAAACGACGAAUCGAGAGGCCGCCCAUUCCAAAAGGCUAAGAUUGAGAUAGAGUUGGGAAAGAGCGAGAAAUUCGACGAGUUGAUGGCCUCUGCUGCGGCAGAUGCCGAAGAAGGCGAGGAGGAGGCCUGA